rnacentral:rRNA from 1 species
AAAUUGAAGAGUUUGAUCAUGGCUCAGAUUGAACGCUGGCGGCAGGCCUAACACAUGCAAGUCGAACGGUAACAGGAAACAGCUUGCUGUUUCGCUGACGAGUGGCGGACGGGUGAGUAAUGUCUGGGAAACUGCCUGAUGGAGGGGGAUAACUACUGGAAAUGGUAGCUAAUACCGCAUAAUG